AACGAACGCUGGCGGCAUGCCUAACACAUGCAAGUCGAACGAUACCUUCGGGUCUAGUGGCGCACGGGUGCGUAACGCGUGGGAACCUGCCCUUAGGUUCGGAAUAACUCCCCGAAAGGGGUGCUAAUACCGGAUAAUGUCUUCGGACCAAAGAUUUAUCGCCUUUGGAUGGGCCCGCGUUGGAUUAGCUAGUUGGUAGGGUAAAAGCCUACCAAGGCGACGAUCCAUAGCUGGUCUGAGAGGAUGAUCAGCCACACUGGGACUGAGACACGGCCCAGACUCCUACGGGAGGCAGCAGUGGGGAAUAUUGGACAAUGGGCGAAAGCCUGAUCCAGCAAUGCCGCGUGAGUGAUGAAGGCCUUAGGGUUGUAAAGCUCUUUUACCCGGGAUGAUAAUGACAGUACCGGGAGAAUAAGCUCCGGCUAACUCCGU
rnacentral:rRNA from 1 species